rnacentral:rRNA from 1 species
CUCACCAAGGCGACGAUCCGUAGCUGGCCUUAGAGGAUGAUCAGCCACACCGGGACUGAGACACGGCCCGGACUCCUACGGGAGGCAGCAGUGGGGAAUCUUGGACAAUGGGGGCAACCCUGAUCCAGCCAUGCCGCGUGUGUGAAGAAGGCCUUCGGGUUGUAAAGCACUUUCAGUAGGGAGGAAGGCUUGUCCUUAAUACGGAUGAGUACUUGACGUUACCUACAGAAGAAGCACCGGCUAAUUUCGUGCCAGCAGCCGCGGUAAUACGAAAGGUGCGAGCGUUAAUCGGAAUUACUGGGCGUAAAGCGCGCGUAGGCGGUUUGCUAAGUCAGAUGUGAAAGCCCCGGGCUCAACCUGGGAACUGCAUUUGAAACUGGCAGGCUAGAAUGCAGUAGACGGAGGUGGAAUUUCCGGUGUAGCGGUGAAAUGCGUAGAGAUCGGAAGGAACACCAGUGGCGAAGGCGGCCUCCUGGACUGACAUUGACGCUGAGGUGCGAAAGCGUGGGGAGCAAACAGGAUUAGAUACCCU